rnacentral:rRNA from 1 species
AGAGUUUGAUCAUGGCUCAGGACGAACGCUGGCGGCGUGCUUAACACGUGCAAGUCGAGCGACAGCGCCUCUUUCGGGGGGUGUAUGGAGCGGCGAACGGGUGAGUAACACGUGAGUAACCUGCCCCAGUCUUUGGGAUAACCUUCGGAAACGGGGGUUAAUACCGGAUAUCCACUUGGUGCGGCAUCGUGCUGUGUGGAAAGUUUUUCGGUCUGGGAUGGGCUCGCGGCCUAUCAGCUUGUUGGUGGGGUGAUGGCCUACCAAGGCGACGACGGGUAGCCGGCCUGAGAGGGCGACCGGCCACACUGGGACUGAGACACGGCCCAGACUCCUACGGGAGGCAGCAGUGGGGAAUAUUGCACAAUGGGCGGAAGCCUGGUGCAGCGACGCCGCGUGAGGGAUGACGGCCUUCGGGUUGUAAACCUCUUUCGACAGGGACGAAGCGUGAGUGACGGUACCUGGAGAAGAAGCGCCGGCCAACUACGUGCCAGCAGCCGCGGUAAUAC